GAAGCAUAUAGAAAAAAUACUUCUAAAGCACAGGACUUGAAGGGACUCCCCUCUCUUGAAAACAGAUGUGCUUCAGAUGUUGACCGGUAUCAAGAGCAUGAAGGAAAGGUACUUCUGUCACCACCAGGCUUUCCCUCCCAAGUCCAUGCAGAUUUGGUUACUGCAAAAGCAGCAUGCUUGGAGCUUAGAGAGCAGUGUACGGGGAUCACUGUCUGGAAUAAUGCCUAUGCACUUGCCAGGGGAACUGUUUUGCUAAAAAGUAAAGAGAGAGAGUCUGCAGCAUAUAUCAAAUCAGAUUGCUCCUUAGGCUACUUUGGAAAAAACUGUUCCUCUGUUUGCAGCAGCUGCCAUGAAGAUGAAUUAUGCAAUCCUUACACUGGGGGUUGUGACAACAUCCAUUCAUGCCGCUCUCAGGACUCACCUGCUGUUUGUGAACAAGCUUUGGAGAGUGCGUGGUGCCCACACUUUUCUGGUUGGAAAUAUUGGGGAACCAACUGCUAUUACUUCAGUACCGAGGCUGAAGCCAACUGGACCAAUGCUCGGAAACACUGUAGAAGAUUCAGAAGUGCAGACCUUAUGUGGAUGGACAACCCAAGUGAAAUAGUAUUUAUAUGA
rnacentral:lncRNA from 1 species